UACGAGAGGUGCGAGCGUUAUUCGGAAUUAUUGGGCGUAAAGGGUGCGUAGGCGGUUUGUUAAGUCAGUUGUUUAAUUCCUCGGCCUAACUGAGGAUCAGCAGCAGAAACUGGCAGACUUGAGUGUGAGAGAGAGGAGUGGAAUUCUCGGAGUAGCGGUAAAAUGCGUAGAUCUCGAGAGGAACACCGAUGGCGAAGGCAGCUCCUUGGCUCAUUACUGACGCUCAAGCACGAAAGCGUGGGGAGCAAACAGG
rnacentral:rRNA from 1 species